AUGAACGCUGGCGGCGUGCCUCAUACAUGCAAGUCGAGCGAACGGACGAGAAGCUUGCUUUUCUGAUGUUAGCGGCGGACGGGUGAGUAACACGUGGAUAACCUACCUAUAAGACUGGGAUAACUUCGGGAAACCGGAGCUAAUACCGGAUAAUAUUUUGAACCGCAUGGUUCAAAAGUGAAAGACGGUCUUGCUGUCACUUAUAGAUGGAUCCGCGCUGCAUUAGCUAGUUGGUAAGGUAACGGCUUACCAAGGCAACGAUGCAUAGCCGACCUGAGAGGGUGAUCGGCCACACUGGAACUGAGACACGGUCCAGACUCCUACGGGAGUCAGCAGUAGGGAAUCUUCCGCAAUGGGCGAAAGCCUGACGGAGCAACGCCGCGUGAGUGAUGAAGGUCUUCGGAUCGUAAAACUCUGUUAUUAGGGAAGAACAUAUGUGUAAGUAACUGUGCACAUCUUGACGGUACCUAAUCAGAAAGCCACGGCUAACUACGUG
rnacentral:rRNA from 1 species